rnacentral:lncRNA from 1 species
UGACUUUUCUUGAGCUGGGGGCAGUCCGAUCUAAAGUGGCCCGACUUCUUGCAUUCAUAACAGAUGAUGGGCUGCUCUUUUUUUUUCUUUACUUGGCUCCCCCUUAGCUGGUGGUCUUCUUUUGAUCUCUUGUCUCUUUCUCCUCAUAAAAUGUCUGAAUUUUCUGAUGAUUAGGGCUAAAUCCUCAUUUUUUUCACUGUUCUUUGAUUUUUCUAUAUCUUCUUCUUCUUGAGCUGUUGACUUGAGAGCGAUAGUCUUCUUUCUUCUGGUCUCUUCCUCUGAAUGUUGCUUUAUGGUCAGCUCAUGGGUCAUGAGGGAUCUAAGUAGCUCCUCCAAAGAUAGAGUGUUUAAAUCCUUGACUUCUUGGAUUGCAGUGACCUUUGUCUCUCACGAUCUUGAUAAAGGCCUGAGCACUUUUCUUACAAGAUCACUGUUAGAAUAACAAUUACCUAGACUUUUUAAACCGUUUAUGAUGUCACUGAAAUGGAUAAACAUUUGAGUUAUUGACUUUUCAGGUUCCAUUUUGAAUAGUUCAUAGUUGUGCACAAACAUAUUGAUUUUAGAUUCU